AAAAGCACGAUGCGAAGGAGAAAGACAAUGAUAGGAAAUAAAAUUAGAUAAAGGAUGACGAGUCAGGGGAGGUAGAAGAGAAGCCCAUAAAAUAAUCAUUUUGCCAACGCGGUGGGUGCGUCGAACGAGUGGUGUGUUCUGGGCAUCAAGCAGAUAAGGAGGAAUUGGUUUAGCAAUAAACGGGGGGAUUGCAUAUGUGGACACAGUAGGGUUGGGAGGAGAAGGAGGCCCAGCACGGGCUGGGGACGAGGGGUAUAGGGGCUAAACAAGGGCCCAAUAUCCAAAGAAGGGAGACUAAAUGUUGGAAUGGGUGAACCAGGUGGUGGAGUGGGUCCGGGAAGGUGGGUUUGUAGCAGUGGAGUAGGAUCGGG
rnacentral:lncRNA from 1 species